CCUACGGGAGGCAGCAGUGAGGAAUAUUGGUCAAUGGGCUUACGCCUGAACCAGCCAAGUCGCGGGAGGGAAGACUGCCCUAUGGGUUGUAAACCUCUUUUGUCAGGGAGCAACGCCGGCUACGUGUAGCCGGACUGAGAGUACCUGAAGAAAAAGCAUCGGCUAACUCCGUGCCAGCAGCCGCGGUAAGACGGAGGAUGCGAGGGUUAUCCGGGUUUAUGGGGUUUAAAGGGUGCGUAGGCGGAAUGCCAAGCCAGCGGUAAAAUCGCGGGGCUCAACCUCGCUCCGCCGUUGAAACUGGCGUUCUUGAGUGGGCGAGAAGUAUGCGGAAUGCGUGGUGUAGCGGUGAAAUGCAUAGAUAUCGCGCAGAACUCCGAUUGCGCAGGCAGCAUACCGGCGCCCAACUGACGCUGAAGCACGAAAGCGUGGGUAUCGAACAGGAUUAGAUACCCCUGUAGUC
rnacentral:rRNA from 1 species